GAGAUGAAAUUCUGUGUCAAUAGUUUGACGCUAAAGAAAGGGCCCAGGCCCGUUUAUGGGAAGGAGCAAAUGCUCAAUGAGAGAAAUUUCAUCGCACUGCUUUAAUGCUGAUGAGAUUCAGAUUGUCUACCUUCAAAUCGGCCAGAUGAUCCGACCAUCCACAAACUGGCUGAUGUCGAUCAGAUCUAAUCGCUUUCAAAUCAAUCAAUACC
rnacentral:lncRNA from 1 species